rnacentral:rRNA from 1 species
GAGUUUGAUCCUGGCUCAGAUUGAACGCUGGCGGCAGGCCUAACACAUGCAAGUCGAGCGCGAAAGGCUUUCGGGCUGAGUAGAGCGGCGGACGGGUGAGUAACGCGUAGGAAUCUACCUGGUAGUGGGGGACAACUUGGGGAAACUCAAGCUAAUACCGCAUACGCCCCAUGGGGGAAAGCGGGGGACCUUCGGGCCUCGCGCUAUCAGAUGAGCCUGCGUAGGAUUAGCUAGUUGGUGAGGUAAAGGCUCACCAAGGCGACGAUCCUUAGCUGGUCUGAGAGGAUGAUCAGCCACACUGGGACUGAGACACGGCCCAGACUCCUACGGGAGGCAGCAGUGGGGAAUAUUGCGCAAUGGGGGCAACCCUGACGCAGCCAUGCCGCGUGUGUGAAGAAGGCCUUCGGUUGUAAG